UACGUAGGGGGCAAGCGUUAUCCGGAUUUACUGGGUGUAAAGGGAGCGUAGACGGCAAGGCAAGUCUGAAGUGAAAGCCCGGUGCUUAACGCCGGGACUGCUUUGGAAACUGUUUGGCUGGAGUGCCGGAGAGGUAAGCGGAAUUCCUAGUGUAGCGGUGAAAUGCGUAGAUAUUAGGAAGAACACCAGUGGCGAAGGCGACUUACUGGACGGUAACUGACGUUGAGGCUCGAAAGCGUGGGGAGCAAACAGG
rnacentral:rRNA from 1 species